UGGGAGAGCGGAGGGGAGGGGCCACGGAGCCCCCGGCCUCAUCACAGCACAGCAAUCAUGCGUGUCCACCUCUGUCAGAGCGGAAAAGUGACAUUUUCUCUCCCUGUUUCCCCAUGAUUCCCUGCUGUACUCCUAUGUGACAGCUGCUGGAAAGACAGGUGUGGCUCGAUCCCUAGCUGUCCCAGAGGCCUCUCUGAUUUAUUGAAUCUGCCUCCUUACCUGUUCUGAGUCCCAAUACUGAAAUUCACACCGCCCCCCCGUCAGGCUCUGGCUGGAAUAACACCUUUUGAUUUCUGCCACCCAUGUCUACAGGGCUUUGGCUGCAUGACCCUCACGCCUACUACUAGCACUGUGCUCCAUCAACAAAAAAUUAAAAUGUGAAAAAUCAAUAACACGAAAAUGCAGUUGAAAGGGUAGUGAAGCAGUCUUAUUACUUGUGUGGAAUGGCAAGUAACAUGUAGGCUAUUUAGAGACAACCUGUGCAAUGUGGGAGCUUCAACAACAGCUGAGCAGUAUUGGCCAUUGUGACAUGAGAUGAUGUUACCUGAUUAUGGCGGUCAUUGUGACAUCAGGUGAUGCUGGCUGAUGUGGUGUCAUUGUGUUAUCAGGUGAUGAAGCUGAUUGCGAGGGAAUCAUUGUGACAUAAGAUGGUGCCGGCUGAUGGUGGCGUUAUUGUGUUAUCAGGUGAUGUUGCGUAGCUGAUUGUGGGGGAUGAGGUCAUUGUGACAUAAGACGUGAACUAAUUGUGGUAUUAUUGUGACAUCAGCAGGUGUUCGCAUGUUGUGGUGUUACUUUGCCCUCAGAUGAUGCUGUCUACUCAGUGUAGGUCAUUAACCCCUUUGUGCAAGCCUCCUAGUGGCCAGGAAACCAGCAUCCUGCGAUUGCUCAACUCAGACAUUCAGUGCUCCAGCAACCAAGCUAUGAUUCACCAUUGCAACAAGGUCAAGCCAACAAUAGAAUAUUUUACUUAUCUUGCCAACUCAUCAGCAUGGCUAAAGCAAAUUCUCCCCAUUCUGACAUGGAUUUGGAGAGUGGGUCAGAAGAGGAGGAAGCAUGAAGUCUAGCGAAGAGGCAUAUGAAAAAGGCGAUGAUUAAUGCUUGUGCCAUUUCAAUUGUUUAUUUUGUCAUUUUUUGAUAUUGUUAUGUUUGCAUUCGUUGUAAUGGACAACUGUUAGCCCUUGGUAGUAAUGCUCAGCAUAUUUGUAUUUGGGACUAGCUAAUAGCUGUUAGUAGAGGGGCAUUGUUAACGUACGCAGUUCGGUGUAGUGGCUCAUAGUCAGCUGGCUUGCUUUGUUAGAAUUCAUCCCACUCACAAUGCCUAUACAUUUCUGCAAGUAAAAUGCAACCCCUACCUAUGAAGAGGGAAACGUGUUCACAAAACAGCUUACACGUUCUGAGAUGAUGUGGAGUAGUGUAAAGUAUUGUAAUUCAAGGUUAAAUAAAUGAAGGUAUCAAAAAAGGAA